rnacentral:lncRNA from 1 species
AUCAAACAGAAACUUCUCUCACUGUGAGGAAAAGGGAAUGAUUCUACCCUUGUAAGGAGGGGCAUAAUAGGAGCCCACCCAUGAAUGGGACUGGUGGCAAGGCAGAACUUAUAGUCUGUUACAGUCAUGUUUCCAGUCCUGUCACACCUGCUCAUAACAGGGAAGGAGAAACUGAUGCAGUUUACUUGUAGAACUAUUUGUGAAGAGUGUUGCUUGUAUCCCCAUGGGAUGAUAUGAUCACACAUAUUAUAUUGGCAAUAUUGAUGUGUUCAUGUGCAACUAUCAUUCCAGCAAUUGGGAUGAUUUGUGCAGUAUUCAAAAGGAUUUAAGUUCUUUCAUCUCUGUCAUAGUUUGGUAACUGCUUCCCAGAAUGGUGUGGUAUGUCACCUCAAGGUAU